GAUGAACGCUGGCGGCGUGCCUAAUACAUGCAAGUCGAGCGAAUGGAUUAAGAGCUUGCUCUUAUGAAGUUAGCGGCGGACGGGUGAGUAACACGUGGGUAACCUGCCCAUAAGACUGGGAUAACUCCGGGAAACCGGGGCUAAUACCGGAUAACAUUUUGAACCGCAUGGUUCGAAAUUGAAAGGCGGCUUCGGCUGUCACUUAUGGAUGGACCCGCGUCGCAUUAGCUAGUUGGUGAGGUAACGGCUCACCAAGGCAACGAUGCGUAGCCGACCUGAGAGGGUGAUCGGCCACACUGGGACUGUGACACGGCCCAGACUCCUACGGGAGGCAGCAGUAGGGAAUCUUCCGCAAUGGACGAAAGUCUGACGGAGCAACGCCGCGUGAGUGGUGAAGGCUUUCGGGUCGUAAAACUCUGUUGUUAGGGAAGAACAAGUGCUAGUUGAAUAAGCUGGCACCUUGACGGUACCUAACCAGAAAGCCACGGCUAACUACGUGCCAGCCGCCGCGGUAA
rnacentral:rRNA from 1 species